rnacentral:lncRNA from 1 species
GUUAAUAGUUAUCAAAGGUACCAGGAUUGUAAUUUAGUACGCCAGACGCGCGUUUCGUUUAUUAUAUCAUUUUUGUUAUUUAAAAAAGUAUUUUCUUAUCAUGUUUGCGUAAAGAACGUUUUUUCUAUGGAUCUAUCUAGCUAUUAAUGAUAAUUACCAUUGUAGUAUCUUCAUAUUGAGCGCAGCUGAUCAAGUGUUCAAUCCCCAAUCAUCAUCAUCAUCACCGUGUAAGUAUAUUGACAAUAAAUUAACUGAACUACUAUUGUCCAUGUUGAUGUAUAGGAAAAGUCAAAUAUAAAUACCUUUCAUUUAAAAGAAUAUAAAUUGUUGAUUUUUUGGCACAUUUUAUAAGUUGUGUUUUUAUUAAUGAUUAUUCUUAGUAAUACUACAUUUUACAUCAAAAUUUCUUUAAAUCCAGUCUGAGUUACGUUACAAGAAAAAAUAAUGUAUUUACAACUGGUUCACGUUUUUUUUUCAAAUAAGUAUCUAUGCUACUGAAAUAACGAGGCUAAAUUUGUUAGCCGGUAUGACGUUAUUUAUCUAACUUAUAUAUAUUUCUAAUAUAGGACAGCAGAAUAAAUCAAAGAUUCCACCAUUCAUGGCCUUUUAGUUUUCCACAGAAUUGAUAUUACCAAAAAUGUAUCAGUUCCGGGACAAAUGUCGCCUGUUUCCGGUUGUAUAUAUAAGAGGAAAAAAACGAUGUAAAUGUGGUAUAAGUGCCAAUUCAACAAUUCUCCAUCCAAGUCACAAUGUGUAAAAAGUAAACAUUUUUGGUCCAAGUUCGUCCUUCAACACGGCUCACAAAAAACAGCAAGCUAUGAUUAAGGCCCUCGAAAUGGUUAGUAAAAAAACAAUUCAAACAGGAAAGACAAAGGUUUAAUUGAUAUUUGUUUUAAAAGAGAAACAAAACCACUUAUAAACCUCAUCAACAAACGAUGCAAACGAAUGCAGCGGCUUUAAGCGUUUCAACGGUCGCCAACAUUUAACCUAACCUGAACCGGUAGCUUACCAUUACAACAUAGAAAGACACACUCUUAGAUAACAAUUGAAAUAAAUUCUCGAUCAAAAAACGUAUUUACAAAACAAGUUAACAUUUACUAAAGGAAUAAGUGUGAUCUAUGACACGUAAUACAAUAUAAAUAAAAAGAGGGUGUAAAACAAUGUAAACAAGACGACUAUAUCCUGGGAUAAAAUAUAUGUAUGUUUGUUUUUUAUGUUUUUCCUUUUGUAGGAGCUCCAUAGUUUGUUAUGGUGUAACGAAGAACAUUUAACACACUGUAUCUGUACAAACGACAUGGCAAAGAAGGGGAAACAGAUAAGGAUACACUGUAGUAAGAAAACCAGGACGAGUUCAAGAAGACACUUUUGAAAAAUCCACCUUAUAAUCACCAUGACUUUAUGAGAUGAUAAUACGAUUUCUAAAAAUUAUGGCUUAAAAUAAUGCGUAGAGACUUUAAUUCAGUCAAGGACCCGCAAUGUCGCGGAAGUGUUAUAGUUCAAUAUAAAAUUGAAAUGAAAUGAAGGAGGAUGUUAUUAAACUCGUAAAGGCUAGACUUAAUAUUUCUUAACAGAUUUAGAUAUUGCUUUUUAAUUGGACUUAUGAUGAUAUAGCUAUCAAUUCAUUUAUUCUAAAUCGGAAGAAUUCAUGAUAAAUGAAUCAAAAGAAAUGAAAGUUUUAACAUCGGUAAUUGUAAAGGAA